rnacentral:lncRNA from 10 species
AAAAUGUUUGUCAGAUAUUGGCUUGCAAAUAUUUUCUCCCAGUCUGCAGGUUGUCUUUUCACCCUCUAAACAGAGUCUUUCACAGCAUGAAACAAAUGGAGGCUUUAAAUGGCCAUUUCAGAAAAGCCUGACCUAGCCUUGAGAGCGUCGGACACGGUCACUCCACCGGUUCCCACUCACGAGGGCAGAUCAUGGGUUUAAAUCCCAUUUGGGUGUGCUAAUUCAGCUUCACAAUAGCUCACCCACCAUGGGCUUAACGCUAUUCAGUGGCCACAGGUGAGUGUGUUUCAGGACAUCACAAAAAGAUAAGCUGAGAAAGAGUGGCCCACCGCUGCCAGAACAGCUUGAGGGCAAGUCCCCACUGACCCGGAAAGUGAGUCAGUUGCAUCACCCCCUUAGAAACCUGGAAAAUGCUUCAUCAUCGGUGUAGAGCGAGAGCCAGCAUUCAAAACGCCAGGGGGCUUAUCAGGCCAUUUCACCACAACAUAAAGUAACAGGCAGACUUGAAUUCAUCUGGCACUGUUGACCAACACAGAGAGCCAAAACACACACGGAAUUCAAAAUCAGAAAUAAUCCCAAGUUUGAGUCAUCCAAUGUGCUUGUCUACAUUGAUUGCACUCACCAGAUAAAAGUCCAAUGCACUCUGUGGGGUGAAACAGCCUCUGUCUCAGGUUGGGAGUUGCUGCCAUGGAGACCACAAGAGUGGAGAUUUUCUGACACACAGAAAGGAAUGGAUUACAGCUCCUUCUUAUGUAAAUUUCCAUGGAGGGGAAAAAAGAUUAAAAGGAAAAUAAUUCUGCUUUAGUCGUUUUCCUUUAAGGUGAUAAGAUCCUUUGAUUCCAUCGUGGAGAAGAAGGCAACAGCUGUUUGUCACAAAUGUGGGAAGCUGCUUCUUGGGCAGGGUGGAUUUCCAUCUGCGUCUCCUUUUCGGUGUUGAAAGCUGAUGGGAAAUGUGCCAACGUCACAACAAGGUUUGAGGGAGGCACAUCUCAUGCUCGGACAUGAACACCCGAUCAUCAUGCUUAUGAACUACAAAAGGAUCUCCAGUAUGGGCUCACGGCAGUUGGCCCUUGAAUAACAUGAAUUUGAACUGCCUGAGUCUGCUAAUAUGUGGAUUAUCUUCUGCUUCUGCACCCUGAGACAGCAAGACCAACCCUUCCUCUUGCUUCUUUUCCUUAGCCUAUUCAACGUGAAGAUGACUAAGGUUUCCCAGGAUGUACAGAGAAGUCCAGCCUCACCGUAGCACCUGAGCAGUGGGUGGGAAAUAGCUGAGGGACACAUCUCAAUCGAUGAACCAGCACUCCUGAUUCUCUGCAGCCUGCAAACUUCGGGCAUGAAAAAACCCUGAAAAACUGAGCGUUUGCUUCUCAGCGACUCAGCUUGAAAGAGGCUGUUUUAAACUGGAAGAGGUUGAGAGGCCUUCAGUUGGUGAGUUUAUUAUUUUCCCUUGCUCCUCUGUGAAAUGAAGCUCAUGAAGAAGCGUAGGUCAGGUACAGAAUAUAAAAGAAUGACCUUUUCUUUUUCCUGGACAAUUUAAGUGCACUGUCAUCUCACAACCUCAAACUCUUUAAUAUGGUAAUGAGAGGCAAAAGGCAUUUUAAUUUGGAGCUAUGUCGCAGUUUUCCAGCAUGUGAAGAAAGCAUCCUCAGUUGCCAAAAGGUCACGUGUGGGAUUAGUUGCUAGGCUGUGGGAUUAUUUUUCUAGGCUUGCUGGGGAAAAGGGCAAAAGAGAAGAAGCAAACUAGCAGAGUCAUGUGGCGUUUCUGUCCUGGGACUUACGCAAAUUAUGCAAUUGUCCUUUGCAUUCAAAUCUGUUCCUCUUCCACCUGAUAUUUUGCUGAGGGGACAAGUGAAAUUCCAAAGCUCAGUUUGCUGAAGUGUGCAAAAUGCUAAUCAGCUUCCACAGCCCACAAAGUGGCAGAGAGGGCGUGCCUCUCUGGAGAAGAGAGGAGAGACUGGACUAGGAGCUGGGAGGAGUCUGGCUGACUCAGCGGCCCCAGACAAACGCACUUCCAUCCUUUCCCAUUUCCGUUGUGAACUCUUCUCCGUGGGCAAGAAGAGGACUCAGAACAACUGCUAUCUUUUUACAAAGAAGGAUGAUGUGCAAGGGGGUCAUUUACAAGAGGAUCAAGGGUUUGGCUAUGUUGGGAGAUGCUGAUUUUGAUAAAUGUUUCCAUAUCUCUACAAAUGUGCCUUUCUGAGUCUCCAGUUAGACUUGAAAAAGACUUUGGAGAUUGUCCCCUGCACAGUGGCUCUGAGCCUGGACACCUAGGAGAUGCUCAGUAAAUAUCUGUUAAAUAAAUGAAGGAAUGGAUAUAGUCCAAACUACUUGGUCAUGCAUCCAGUUUGUGGCAGAUUUGGGUCUCUAAGGCCCAGUACACUAAUCACUCAGCUGGGAGUUUUUAUUCUGUUCCAUCUUGCUGCUAGGACAACUGUAGCCACCCAGAAGGAUGUCUCAACGCUCUGGAAAGUUCUCUGGCUGAAUGUUGCUAUGAUACAAUCUUUUAACAAGCUGAUUGCUCAGUAGCAAGAGCAAGUGCUAUUUAUGUUGGGUAAAUAAGAAGAAAUGCUGCCCUACUGAUAUUUGUUAAGUGCCCCUUUAAUAUUUGUGAGGAGGCGAUCUUGACAAAAUUUUGAGAGUGUAUACACUGGCAAAUUUUACCUUUUAUGGACUGUAAUAUCCUAUUGCUACUUGAUUUAAAAAUCUUUCCCUCUCUUCACAUAUAUCCAUAUGAAAAAAAACAGCAGAGAGAGAUAUAUGUAUAUUAUAUGGGAGAUAUCUAUCUAUCAUCUAUCUAUCUCCCACUUAUGACCUGAAAGCCCCGUCUUUGAGAUGUUCUGCCUUUCCAGCCUAAAUCAAUGUAUACCUUACAUGUAUUGAUUUAUGUCUUUGCCUGUAACUUCUGUUUUCCUAAAAUGUAUAAAACUAAACUGUAAUUCAGUCACCUUGGGUACACUUUCUCAAGCUUUCUUGAGACUGUUUCCCAGGCCAUGGUCAGAAUAAAC